UCGAGCGGACAGAUGGGAGCUUGCUCCCUGAUGUUAGCGGCGGACGGGUGAGUAACACGUGGGUAACCUGCCUGUAAGACUGGGAUAACUCCGGGAAACCGGGGCUAAUACCGGAUGCUUGUUUGAACCGCAUGGUUCAAACAUAAAAGGUGGCUUCGGCUACCACUUACAGAUGGACCCGCGGCGCAUUAGCUAGUUGGUGAGGUAACGGCUCACCAAGGCAACGAUGCGUAGCCGACCUGAGAGGGUGAUCGGCCACACUGGGACUGAGACACGGCCCAGACUCCUACGGGAGGCAGCAGUAGGGAAUCUUCCGCAAUGGACGAAAGUCUGACGGAGCAACGCCGCGUGAGUGAUGAAGGUUUUCGGAUCGUAAAGCUCUGUUGUUAGGGAAGAACAAGUACCGUUCGAAUAGGGCGGUACCUUGACGGUACCUAACCAGAAAGCCACGGCUAACUACGUGCCAGCAGCCGCGGUAAUACGUAGGUGGCAAGCGUUGUCCGGAAUUAUUGGGCGUAAAGGGCUCGCAGGCGGUUUCUUAAGUCUGAUGUGAAAGCCCCCGGCUUCAACCGGGGAGGGUCAUUGGAAACUGGGGAACUUGAGUGCAGAAGAGGAGAGUGGAAUUCCACGUGUAGCGGUGAAAUGCGUAGAGAUGUGGGAGGAACACCAGUGGCGAAGGCGACUCUCUGGU
rnacentral:rRNA from 1 species